UACGAAGGGGGCUAGCGUUGUUCGGAAUUACUGGGCGUAAAGCGCACGUAGGCGGCUUUGUAAGUAAGAGGUGAAAGCCCCAGAGCUCAACUCUGGAAUUGCCUUUUAGACUGCAUCGCUUGAAUCAUGGAGAGGUCAGUGGAAUUCCGAGUGUAGAGGUGAAAUUCGUAGAUAUUCGGAAGAACACCAGUGGCGAAGGCGGCUGACUGGACAUGUAGUUGACGCUGAGGUGCGAAAGCGUGGGGAGCAAACAGG
rnacentral:rRNA from 1 species